GACGAACGCUGGCGGCGUGCCUAAUACAUGCAAGUAGGACGCAGUUGCGUACGGGUGAGUAACGCGUAGGUAACUACCUAUUAGUGGGGGCUAAAUACUGGAAACGAUAGCUAAUACCGCAUACUAGUAGCUGGACCUGCGUUGUAUUAGCUAGUAGGUCGGGUAAUGGCCUACCUAGGCAACGAUACAUAGCCGACCUGAGAGGGUGAUCGGCCACACUGGGACUGGGACAAGGCCCAGACUCCUACGGGAGGCAGCAGUAGGGAAGCUUCGGCAAUUGGGGGAACCCUGACCGAGCAACGCCGCGGGGGUGAAGAAGGUUUGCGGAUCGUAAAGCGCUGUUGUUAAGGAAGCGGUACUUGACCAGAAAGGGACGGCUAACUACGUGCCAGCAGCCGCGGUAAUAC
rnacentral:rRNA from 1 species